rnacentral:tRNA from 1 species
GCCCAGGUGGCGGAACUGGUAGACGCGCUAGCUUCAGGUGCUAGUGACCUUCUGGUCGUGGAGGUUCGAGUCCUCUCCUGGGCACCA